AUAUUUUUGUAAUAGAUGGCUUUUUUCUUUGCGUAUGCUUCUUUUUAAUUCACAUCAUGCCUUUGCACCUUUACUUCUUUCUUGGAAGAAUUAAUAUUCUAGUUCUUUUGGUUUAUUUGUUUUUGUUUAUCUGUGGAUUUUUGAGA